rnacentral:rRNA from 1 species
GACGAACGCUGGCGGCGUGCUUAACACAUGCAAGUCGAACGGAAAGGCCCUGCUUGCAGGGUACUCGAGUGGCGAACGGGUGAGUAACACGUGGGUGAUCUGCCCUGCACUUCGGGAUAAGCCUGGGAAACUGGGUCUAAUACCGGAUAGGAGCCAUUUUUAGUGUGAUGGUUGGAAAGUUUUUUCGGUGUAGGAUGAGCUCGCGGCCUAUCAGCUUGUUGGUGGGGUAAUGGCCUACCAAGGCGGCGACGCGUAGCCGGCCUGUGAGGGUGGACGGCCACAUUGGGACUGAGAUGCGGCCCAGACGCCUACGGGAGGAAGCAGGGGGGAAUAUUGCACAAUGGGCGCAAGCCUGAUGCAGCGACGCCGCGUGGGGGAUGACGGCCUUCGGGUUGUAAACUCCUUUCGCUAGGGACGAAGCUUUUUGUGACGGUACCUAGAGAAGAAGCACCGGCUAACUACGUG